rnacentral:rRNA from 1 species
GGGGAAUCUUAGACAAUGGGGGAAACCCUGAUCCAGCAACGCCGCGUGGAUGAUGAAGGUCUUCGGAUUGUAAAGUCCUUUUGGCGGGGACGAUGAUGACGGUACCCGCAGAAUAAGCUCCGGCUAACUUCGUGCCAGCAGCCGCGGUAAUACGAAGGGAGCAAGCGUUGUUCGGAAUUACUGGGCGUAAAGAGCGCGUAGGCGGUUUGAUAAGUUGGGCGUGAAAUCCCUGGGCUUAACCCGGGAAUGG